AGAUGGAGAUGAAGAAACAAAUGGUGGGAAUGGCAAAUCCGAGGGUCCAACUUACAUUGGUUUGAACAUAAACAACACCAGUGAGAGCUAUAAGUAGAGCAAUGGUGAAAGAAAGGGACGAAUACCACCAGCACCAAUCGACAACAGACCGAGACCGGUGAAUAGAACAAGGAGCUGCCAAAGAUGUGGCUGUGGGCAAUGGCCUGAAUCAUCAGCAUUACAAUGAGGAGGCCUGAGCUGGUGGAGAGCUGCGGUGAGAGCAACAGUCCCCAUUCCCUUUUCAAAGACAAAGAAGAUUAAUUAUGAGAUAAAUGUUGAUGAAUUCAACAAGGGUAUAGUAAAAGCAAUACCAAGAAUGAUGCAAUGGAGCCAUAUAGGAGAGUGCGGUAGCGGCCAAGACGAGUAUCUGCAAUGAAAGCACCGGCUAAAGUGGCAAUAUUCGAGGUUCCAAUCCAUAUGUUAACCACAUUAACCACAAAAGUUCCAUUGACAUUAUAUUGGGUGCUGAGAUACACAGUGAUAUUAGAUAUCAAACUCAUGGAUGACAGCUUCUCAAAAGACUCGUUCCCUUCAAAAGAAGAUAUAUUCAAAACCAAAGGAAAAAACACAAAGCAGUUUGUCAUGUAUGAUGUUUAAGUAAUAAUGAAUGUUACAAACCGAUAAUGUAUUUGACGGCACGCCAUCCUCCAAGUUUCUGGCAAGGGGGCGGAGGAGGGUGGGAGGAGGGAAGAGGAGCUACCAAAUCCAUGGUGGCUGUGUAAAGACUGUAGGAAGGUGUGGAAGGAGGAUGUAUCAAAAGGAGUGGAGGAAAUUAGGAAUGGUGGAAAAGCUCCAAAAUAGAAGGUAGUUGUUGAGGAUUGUGUUUUAUGGGUAUAUGCUGUUGUUUUGCAUUGAUCCUAUUUUCCCGUUUUCUA